CUGUGAAAAUAUGUAUUUUUUUCUUACGUUUAAGUGAAAUUCCUUGCGUUUCACCUUGUGCCUGUUGCUUUUCAUCCUUCCACUGGGCACCACUACGAAGAGCGUGGCUCUGUUGUCCUUCCUGCCUCCCAUCAGGGCAAUUCCCAUGCACCGUCUCCUGAUGCGUUUGUACCAUGACAGUGACAGAGCCAUAACUGCCUGAGAGUUGAUCAAGAACUGUGCUGUGGAUGACUCUGCUCCUCCACAGUGAAAGCUGGCUGAGGAAAUAUAACUUGCUGAAGGCGGUUACCUUUGUUCGAAGCCAACUGAGACAGCACCAGCACUCAGUAAUUACAGCCGUACAGUUUCCAGGAGACUCCUUCUUCACCAGACCUGUCGUCUCGUGUCCCCAUUUGUAACACUGUUCAUUAUAUUCAACCUGCUGCCGUCACUCCAGAGCUUUCAAAAGUGUCUCAAGUUGGACUGUAAAGGAGCUGAAGGAGUUUGUGCUGCUCCGUCCUGUGGCAGGGUGGAGCCGCGCUCCACAUAAAGCAUUGGAAAUUCCUGGAAGUGUAAUGAAUGGAGGCCAGAUCAAAUAAGGAAACCUGAGACACGAGUGUGACAAAAGCACAGAAAACCAUCUUUCUAACGUAAACCAGAACUCUUUAUUGUAGUGCUGUAACCUUUUUUUGACUAGACAGUCACUGCUAAAGGUGAUCCAUGGCGUAGCUCUAGGGAAGCCCCGUCCUUGCUCCCGCAGACCUGGAUCAGCGCGUGCAGCGCAGCACAGCUCUGCAAGAAGUAUGCAAGCGACGGCUGGAUUUCGAGCCUUGUUACUGUUGGGAAAGUGUUCAUCUACCUGAAGGAAAAACAGCCUGAAUCAAGAAGAAAGAGUGUUCCUUUAUUUGCUGUGUUAAGGGAACAUGAAGUUUGCAAAGGCACGCUUUCCGGUGUGGGAGGAGAUCCCAGGAUGAACACGGUGAUCCCUGUCUUCUGUGUUUUCCGUACAACAUCGUUGUUGCAUCUUGACUGUGCAUUUUCAGUGGCUGGACUAGUCUCCUGGACAAGAUGUGGGCUAUAGAGGUUACAGACCUGUCCUGCUGUAAAAGAUGUAGUCAGAAAGGUGUAAGAUGCCUCACUCAUUUCACCAGAAUAUUAAAGGCCAAGGCAGUAGCAGAAAUAGAAGAGAAAAAGAGACGCCGCUGACCCAAUGUCACAGAAUGUAGCUGGGGCUUGGUCAUGGACACAGCACUCUGACGCUGCUUGGCUUCUUAGGUGAACUUCACAGAGCACAGGGUUCCCUUGUGCCCAGGAGCUCACGGGGAUAAACUGGUGCUGUUAAUAUGUGAAGGUACAGGAACUGGAGCUGUGCCAGAGGGCUCUUAGGAUGCGCCUGAAGUGAACUACAGAGCUGGAAGGUACAAAUGAUAGUGCCGGAGCAGAUAUUACAGGUGCAAGUUCCUGUUCGCUCAACAAUAUUUACUAGCAUUGCCUCGGCUUGCCGCUCUGAACUAGUUAAUGGCGCACAU